rnacentral:rRNA from 1 species
ACACGUAGGGGGCGAGCGUUGUUCGGAAUCAUUGGGCGUAAAGGGCGUGCAGGCGGUCCUGCACGUCAGGCGUGAAAGACCCCGGCCCAACCCGGGGGACGCGCCGGAAACUGCGGGGCUCGAGAACAGGCGGGCAUGCCGGAAAUCCAGGUGUAGGGGGGAAACUUUUAGAUAUGUGGAAGAACACCAAUGGCGAAGGCAGGCAUCGGUCCAUGUACUGACGCUGGGACGCGAAGGUGCGGGGAGCAAACAGGUUUAGAUACCCUGGUAGUCCGCACAGUAAACGAUGUGCACCAGGUGGCGGGGGGUCGACCCUCGGUACCGUAGCUAACGCAUUAAGUGCACCGCCUGGGGAGUAUGCUCGCAAGGGUGAAACUCAAAGGAAUUGGCGGGG